GGCGUCUCAACUAGUUUUUGAAUUUUGGGUUAAUCCCCCAACGAGCGCAACCCCUUUCCUUCUUGCCAGCGGGUAAUCCCGGGACUUUAGGAGACUGCCGUUGAUAAACCGGAGGAAGGUGGGGAGACGUCAAGUCAUCAUGGCCCUUACGAGUAGGGCUACACACGUGCUACAAUGGUCAGUACAGAGGGUUGCGAAGCCGCGAGGUGGAGCUAAUCCCAUAAAGCUGGUCGUAGUCCGGAUUGGAGUCUGCAACUCGACUCCAUGAAGUCGGAAUCGCUAGUAAUCGUGGAUCAGAAUGCCACGGUGAAUACGUUCCCGGGCCUUGUACACACCGCCCGUCACACCAUGGGAGUGGGCUGCACCAGAAGUAGAUAGCUUAACCUUCGGGAGGGCGUUACCCACCGGGGGUUCCCCGGGCA
rnacentral:rRNA from 1 species